rfam:Enterospora canceri strain GB1 scaffold_10, whole genome shotgun sequence.
CAUUAGGUUGACUCUGCCUAACGUAGAUGCUAGUCUUUAAGAUUAAGCCAUGCAUGCUAAGUGAACCUGUACGGGGGAACGGCGAACGGCUCAGUAAUGUUGCGGUGAUUUGCUCUAUAUGAUAAGAAUAACCACGGUAACCUGUGGCUAAAAGUGUAGAAUAAGGCGCAAUCCUAUCAGUUUGUUGGUAGUGUAAAGGACUACCAAGACUACGACGGGUGACGGGAAAUCAGGGUUUGAUUCCGGAGAGGGAGCCUGAGAGAUGGCUCCCACGUCCAAGGACGGCAGCAGGCGCGAAACUUAUCCACUCUUCUGAGAGGAGAUAGUUAUGAGACGUGAUUUAAGGGUUGAGUGUAAAGAACUCGACGUGAAGCAAUUGGAGGGCAAGUUUUGGUGCCAGCAGCCGCGGUAAUACCAACUCCAAGAGUGUCUAUGGUGGGUGCUGCAGUUAAAGGGUCCGUAGUCGUAGAUGCAAUUAAAGGGUGGUGCUCAAGACCAUUAAGUUUGUUGUUUUUAGCGGAACGGAUAGGGAGCGUGGUAUAGGCGGGCCAAGAAUGAAAUCUCAAGACCCCGCCUGGACCAACUGAGGCGAAAGCGACGCUCUUAGACGUAUCUAAGGAUCAAGGACGAAGGCUAGAUUAUCGAAAGUGAUUAGACACCGCUGUAGUUCUAGCAGUAAACGAUGCCGACAGCUCCUGCUGCGAAAGUGGUGGGAGCAAGAGAAAUCAUAGUUUUCGGGCUCUGGGGAUAGUACACUCGCAAGAGUGAAACUUAAAGCGAGAUUGACGGAAGAACACUACCAGGAGUGGAUUGUGCUGCUUAAUUUAACUCAACGCGAGAAAACUUACCAGGGUCGAGUCAGUUGUAGAUCGCUAGCGUGAAACUGACGAGAGUGGUGCAUGGCCAUUGGAAAUUGAUGGGGCGACUUUUAGCUUAAAUGCUGUAACCAGUGAGAUCUUCUAGACAGGUGCCUGAUGGCACAGGAGGGAGAAGGCUAUAAUAGGUCCGUGAUGCCCUCAGAUAUCCUGGGCUGCAAGCGCAAUACAAUAUCCAUAUACUAUAUAAAGAAGUCUUGGAUGAGGAGGAUUAGCUCUUGUAAAUGAGCUAUGAAUGAGGAAUUCCUAUUAACAGUGUCUCAUUAAGACACGGUGAAUGUGUCCCUGUUCUUUGUACACACCGCCCGUCACUAUUUCAGAUGGCCAUGCAGAUGAAGAGCUUAGGUUCUGAAUAUUCAUGGCUAGAUAAAGUACAAGUCGUAACAAGGUUGCGGUAGGAGAACCUGCCGCAGGAUCAUUA